GUCUCAGAUAGCUUAACUGGUAGAGCGAUGGGCGCGCAACUAACCAAUCCGGGUUCGAGUCCCGGUCUUGAACU
rnacentral:tRNA from 1 species